rnacentral:rRNA from 1 species
AGCGAACGCUGGCGGCAGGCCUAACACAUGCGAGUCGAACGAACCUUUCGGGGUUAGUGGCGGACGGGUGAGUAACACGUGGGAACGUGCCUUUAGGUUCGGAAUAACUCAGGGAAACUUGUGCUAAUACCGAAUGUGCCCUUCGGGGGAAAGAUUUAUCGCCUUUAGAGCGGCCCGCGUCUGAUUAGCUAGUUGGUUGAGGUAAUGGCUCACCAAGGCGACGAUCAGUAGCUGGUCUGAGAGGAUGAUCAGCCACAUUGGGACUGAGACACGGCCCAAACUCCUACGGGAGGCAGCAGUGGGGAAUCUUGCGCAAUGGGCGAAAGCCUGACGCAGCCAUGCCGCGUGAAUGAUGAAGGUCUUAGGAUUGUAAAAUUCUUUCACCGGGGACGAUAAUGACGGUACCCGGAGAAGAAGCCCCGGCUAACUUCGUG